UACGUAGGGUGCAAGCGUUGUCCGGAAUUAUUGGGCGUAAAGAGCUCGUAGGCGGUCUGUCACGUCGGAUGUGAAAAUCCAGGGCUUAACCCUGGACCUGCAUUCGAUACGGGCAGACUAGAGUUCGGUAGGGGAGACUGGAAUUCCUGGUGUAGCGGUGAAAUGCGUAGAUAUCUGGAGGAAUACCGGUGGCGAAGGCGGCAUCCUGGACCGACAUUGACGCUGAGGAGCGAAAGCUAGGGGAGCAAACGGG
rnacentral:rRNA from 1 species